AUAGGUAAUUGCUGGUAAAUGAUAAGCCAUGGCCUUUCACGCCGGCGACCGGGGUUCGACUCCCCGUGGGGACGCCA
rnacentral:tRNA from 1 species